UACGGAGGGUGCAAGCGUUAUCCGGAUUCACUGGGUUUAAAGGGUGCGUAGGUGGGCAGGUAAGUCAGUGGUGAAAUCUCCGGGCUUAACCCGGAAACUGCCAUUGAUACUAUCUGUCUUGAAUACCGUGGAGGUGAGCGGAAUAUGUCAUGUAGCGGUGAAAUGCUUAGAUAUGACAUAGAACACCAAUUGCGAAGGCAGCUUAC
rnacentral:rRNA from 1 species